CAGCCUCUACUCUUAUGAAGAGACAUAU
rnacentral:piRNA from 1 species